rnacentral:lncRNA from 1 species
GAAGUGAGGAAGUUGCGAAGUCGCAAGAUUCCGUAUGUAAAAGUCCAAUGGAGCAACCAUGCUGUGCGAGAAGCCACUUGGGAGCUCGAGGAGUCAAUGCGGAGAGAGUAUCCGCAUCUAUUCGAAUCGACGAGUUAAGGUAUGCGUAAUUUCGCGGACGAAAUUAUUUUAAGGGGUGGAGAAUGUAAUAUACCGAAAAUUCGGAAAAUAAAUAUCGAACUUUAGUC